CGGGUCCGAGUCGUACACGGUAGAGGUUUUCGUAGUCCUCGGCGUCAGGGGUGGAACGCGUGGCGGCGUGCCUAACACAUGCAAGUCGAACGGGCACGGCGUGCGGCAGGGGGCCUCGGCCCCUCGCGGCGCCGCGCGAGUGGCGGACGGGUGAGUAACGCGUGGGCAACCUGCCCUGUACUGGGGGAUAACACCUGGAACAGGUGCUAAUACCGCAUAGCGCGCUGUGCCGCAUGGCGCGGCGCGGAAAACCCCGGUGGUACAGGAUGGGCCCGCGUCUGAUUAGCUGGUUGGCAGGGUAACGGCCUACCAAGGCGACGAUCAGUAGCCGGCCUGAGAGGGUGGACGGCCACACUGGGACCGAGACACGGCCCAGACUCCUACGGGAGGCAGCAGUGGGGGAUAUUGCACAAUGGGGGGAACCCUGAUGCAGCGACGCCGCGUGGGUGAAGGAGCGUUUCGGCGCGUAAAGCCCUAUCGGCAGGGAAGAAGAUGACGGUACCUGACCAAGAAGCCCCGGCUAACUACGUG
rnacentral:rRNA from 1 species